CCCACCCCACACAGUGACAAUUCCAUGAGAACAAGGGAUUCCCUUCACUCUCUAGUGCCUCUAUACCCUUUCUCGUCUAGACAGUGCCUGAGGGAUUAUGGGUGUGGGCUGGGACAAUGACAUCACAGACCAUCAACCCACAGCCUGGUCCUGGAAGAAGACCUAUUCUUUCUUCAAAACAGCCAUGGGAAUCAGGCUUCUCUGCAGUGUGGCCUUUUGUUUCCUGGAAGUAGGCCUCGUGGAAGUGAAAGUAACCCAGAACCCAAGAUAUCUAGUCAAAAGGGUGGGAGAGAAAGUUUUUCUGGAAUGUGCCCAGGAUAUGGACCAUGGAAGAAUGUUCUGGUACCGACAAGACCCAGGUCUGGGGCUACGGCUGAUCUAUUUCUCAUAUGAUAUUAAAACCGAUGAAGAAGGAGAUGUUCCUGAUGGGUACAGUGUAUCUAGAGAGAAGAAGGAGCAGUUCUCCCUGAUUCUGGGGUCUGCCCGCACCAACCAGACAUCUGUGUACCUCUGUGCCAGCAGCUCAUCCACAGUGCGCUCCUACAAUGAGCAGUUCUUCGGGCCAGGGACACGACUCACCGUGCUAGAUGACCUGAGCAAGGUGUUCCCACCCACGGUCGCUGUGUUUGAGCCAUCAGAAACAGAGAUCUCCCGCACCCAAAAGGCCACGCUGGUGUGCCUGGCCACAGGCUUCUACCCCGACCACGUGGAGCUGAGCUGGUGGGUGAACGGGAAGGAGGUGCACAGUGGGGUCAGCACGGACCCGCAGCCCCUCAAGGAGCAGCCCGCCCUCAAUGACUCCAAAUACUGCCUGAGCAGCCGCCUGAGGGUCUCGGCCACCUUCUGGCACAACCCCCGCAACCACUUCCGCUGCCAAGUCCAGUUCUACGGGCUCUCGGAGGACGACGAGUGGACGCAGCCAAGGGCCAAACCCAUCGACCAGAACGUCAGCGCGGAGGCCUGGGGCAGAGCAGACUGUGGCUUCACCUCUGCGUCUUACCAGCAAGGGGUCCUGUCUGCCACCGUCCUCUACGAGAUCUUGCUAGGGAAGGCCACCUUGUAUGCCGUGCUGGUCAGUGCCCUCGUGCUGAUGGCCAUGGUCAAAAGAAAGGAUGCCUGAGACCAGCUCCAAAAAGCCAUCCAGGGUCGUUCUUCAUCCUCACCCAGGAUUCUCCUGUACUUGCACCCAAUCUGUGUUCCUAAAAGUGAUUCUCUCUCUGCCUCUCAUCUCCUUCUUACAUGAAUACUUCCUUCCCUCUUUCUUCUGCUUCCCUGAAGACUGAGCUCCCAACCCCCAGGUUUGAAAUAGACUAAACAAAUAAAAAUGCUGUGCUGGGCCUGGUU